AGAGUUUGAUCAUGGCUCAGGAUAAACGCUGGCGGCGUGCCUAACACAUGCAAGUCGAACGCGCAUGGGAAACCAUGCGAGUGGCGGACGGGUGAGGAACACGUGGGUUAUCUACCAAGAGGUGAGGAAUACCGGCGAGAAAUCGCCGACAAUACCGCAUAGGUUUGCCAAACAAACAAAGUCGCAAGACGCCUUUUGAU
rnacentral:rRNA from 1 species